rnacentral:rRNA from 1 species
UACGUAGGGGGCAAGCGUUGUCCGGAUUUAUUGGGCGUAAAGAGCUCGUAGGUGGUUCGGUAAGUCGGAUGUGAAAUCUCCAGGCUCAACCUGGAGGGGUCAUUCGAUACUGCCGUGACUAGAGGUCGGUAGGGGAGUGUGGAAUUCCUGGUGGAGCGGUGAAAUGCGCAGAUAUCAGGAAGAACACCCGUGGCGAAAGCGGCUCUCUGGAACGGUACUGACGCUGAGACGCGAAAGCGUGGGGAGCGAACAGG